AACUACUUCGAAGAAGAACUAAUUCCUGGACACCACUGAUCUGGGCUUGGAGCUUUCUGUGGAAGAGAGCGCUUCAUUCUCUGUCUGGGUAUUUGAAGUUGAUUUUCUGUGUAAUAUCAUUAAAGUGUCCUGAUUCUUUUCACCUUUUAUAAUGAAAUCAAAGUCCAGACGGCGCUCUUUAGGAAAAUCUCCACAGACUCCUGCUGCUGCCUCAAAGAGAGAGACAUGAAAUGUCCUCAUUACAUUCAUCAUCAGAUGAGUCUGAAUGGUCCAUGAAAAAUGGUCUUCGUGACAAGAGGCUUCCAGCAGGCCAUCAGUUGAUAGCUGGGGCGAGAUCAACUUUUUUCCAAUCGCGUGAACGUUUCUAACCAGCAGCUCCAUCCUCUCCAGCUCAGCCGACUUCGUGACAGCCAGAGACUGAAAGCAAUGCUGUCCUGUAGUGAACUAGCUGUCUUCGCCGGUUUUGAUGUUAUAGUACCGAUGUGUGCAUUUGACUUUUCGUGGUCCUUUAUAGUUUCGAGUUUAAAAUUACUGGUGCCGGUCUUUGCCAGACUUUCUUCAGUCUUCGCAGUACAGGGUAUUUUCGGUUUUGCUAUGAACUAGCCAAUCUCGCCCUAACUUUCAUUUGUCAUUGAACUGUCUUAUCUUCCUAUUAGCAUCUUGUUCAUCUCCAUGGCCGCAGCCAGCUCUGAGGCCCCCGCCAAUGGCGGCUCCAGAGAUUUUUCCUUAGGGUGACAAAGGAGGGGCAUAGGUUGUCGAUGCAGCAUUUUAUAGCAAAUCAUAGAAGUCAUUUUUACUUACGCUCAAGAAAGACUCACAAUCAAGUCAUCUUGUCAAAUAUGUAUUGAGCUAUUGUACCAUCAAGGAAAACGGAUUCAACCAUCUAAACCAUCUUUUCUGAAAGUAUAUUCCCAAGCAGUGAAUGGAACUAUUCUGCCCUAGCGAUGUAUCAAAAAAUAGACAGAUAGCGAACGGUUUAGAUUGUGGAUCUUUACUGAAGACUUCAAACUUAUACAGAUGUGUUCAUCCUCGAUUUCCGUAAAACUAAAAGAAACAAAUUAAGUACAUCACUAAACUCAAUAGCACACAGGCGAAAACGCGAGCUAGGCUGACCUGCUAGUAAUGCUAACACACAAGUUGUUUACUUUCUAAAGCCUAUCACUUUACAAAACUAUUAGCUUUCAUUUUGUUGCCUAGCAUACACAGAAAGUAAAACAUAACUUAGAGCUACUACCGGAACCUAGCGAGACAGCACUCCAUACAUCCAACCAAUGACUGUAUAGCCUACUGCAUCCAACAAAAAACUAACGUUUUAGAAAAACUAAUGUUUCUGAUUGUAAACUGUCUGCAAUAUCAAUAUUGACCAGUAGAUGUAACCCACGUACCGCGAAUGACAACAACACUACGCAUACAAGAAAAUAUGAAACUCAUUAGGGUACAAUAAACGGAGAAAGGUCCUAACAGAACUUUCUCAUCAGUUAGCUCAGUGGAAAAUGCGGAGUGAUUACUAGCUGUAAAGAGUGACCAGUGUGAUAUCAGUGGAUAUCUCCACUCCCAGUGACGCUUAGAAUGCGUCUCGUCUAAUCAGAAAUUCAGAAAUAGUUCGACCGGACCUAACUGUUGUAUAAUACUCAAUAUAAUUUCUGAAAGCAUAUACCUUAAUGAUGAUGUGACCUGACAUUUUGACAUAUCCCACCCACUACCCAUGAAGAAUACAUUGUGAGAAGGGUUAUGAAGUGCAUGGCUAAUACUUUUGUAUCUCUAUUAUAUAGGAAAAACAGAUUUAAAUUAAUUCAAACACCUAACCAUAUCUUUUCUGAAUUAAUUAUUCCUUCAGGAGUUGAUCUAACAUCAUAUGACAUGCCCCACCAUCCUCAUGCAGGGUUCCCGGGGGGUUUUAAAAGGUAGUAAAAGGUAGUUAAUUAAAAUAGGCUAACUUAUGGCCAGUAAAAGGUAGUAAACGUAAUCUGACGUGGUAGUAAAUUUUUUUUUUUGACCCCCAUCCAACUGGGCCUAUGUGUUUUCUAAUUCGUUUAAUUAACCUGCAUGCCAUAAUAUCCAUAAAUUACUACAUUUGGGCGAAUUUAUUUUUAUGUAUCGAGGAGGACCGCAGUGAGGAGUUGGUGGCGCAUGCGCAUUGAAUUCCAAUAACGGUCGAAUCCAGUAUAAAUUUAUAUCAGAGAUUGUUUAGUACGAGACUGACUUUGUUUAUACGGCUCUAGUCGAAUCUAUCUGUUGACCCGACUGGCGACAUCUGCACGAUAAUUAAACAAUGGGGAAAUGCAAAUUUUCAGACCUCUGGCUGGAGGAACCUGAUUUUAAAGACUGGCUAAAGGCGGUAGAUGGCAAUCGGCGAGAGGCGUUCAUUGAAAAGUUGAUCGAAGAAAAGGUCAAACAACUGAGGCACAUGUAAUGCGUUGUGUGCACGCCAUUUGAGGCAUCCAAAAUGUGAUGAGCAAAUCUGUUGAACUGUUCAAAUGAUUAAGAUUAACCCUCUAAAACACUGAUCUCUGGGAGGAAGGUGUUGACUCUGCCCACGGGCCUUCACGACUACAGGACUGGUGCAAAUGACUAUCUUAAGCAAACGUGGCAAUGUGUUGAGAGACUGCCAAAAUAGGGCUUGAGUUAUCUGUGUUUUGUAUCUUUAGGGUGUGUGUCUUGUCUUUGUCAUGUGUGUGUGCACCCAUGUGUGCGUGCGCCUGGUGCGCUUUGUGUGUGUGUGUGGGUUCGUGUUUGCCAUUUGACCUGAUCUAAAUGUAAUGAGUUGAUGUACCUAAGCACAUAAGAUUUUUUGUGCAAAUCUGUUCACCUGUUCAAAAGAUUAUUCCACAAACAAAAGGUUGGCCAUCUUGAAAGUGUUGGCCGACAAAAUGUAAUCAGAUCUUGUACCUAAUGUGAAGUGUUGACACACAAGGUUUAGUGCAAAUCUGUGUACCUGUUAAGAGGUUAUGGGCCACAGUUUCACAGUUCAAUAAAAUUAUAACUUGUA